GUGAGGAAUUUUCCGCAAUGGGCUAAAGCCUGACGGAGCAAUGCCGCGUGAAGGAUGAAGGCCUAUGGGUUGUAAACUUCUUUUCUUAGAGAAGAAUAUUGACGGUAUCUGAGGAAUAAGCAUCGGCUACCUCUGUGCCAGCAGCCGCGGUAAGACAGAGGAUGCAAGCGUUAUCCGGAAUGAUUGGGCGUAAAGCGUCUGUAGGUGGCUUCAAAAGUCUCCUGUCAAAGAUCAGGGCUUAACCCUGGGUCGGCAGGAGAAACUCUGAGGCUAGAGUUUGGUAGGGGCAGAGGGAAUUCCCGGUGGAGCGGUGAAAUGCGUAGAGAUCGGGAGGAACACCAAAGGCGAAAGCACUCUGCUGGGCCACAACUGACACUGAGAGACGAAAGCGAGGGGAGCAAAAGGGAUUAGAAACCCGAGUAGUCC
rnacentral:rRNA from 1 species